rnacentral:rRNA from 1 species
UUCCGGUUGAUCCCGCCGGACCUGACUGCUAUCGGAUUGAUACUAAGCCAUGCGAGUCAUUGUAGUAAUACAAGGCAGACGGCUCAGUAACGCGUAGUCAACCUACCCUAUGGACGGGGAUAACCUCGGGAAACUGAGAAUAAUACCCGAUAGAACAUUAUACCUGGAAUGGUUUAUGUUUCAAAUAAUUUAUUGCCGUAGGAUGGGACUGCGGCCUAUCAGUUUGUUGGUGAGGUAAUGGCCCACCAAGACUAUUACAGGUACGGGCUCUGAGAGGAGUAGCCCGGAGAUGGGUACUGAGACACGGACCCAGGCCCUAUGGGGCGCAGCAGGCGAGAAAACUUUGCAAUGUGCGAAAGCACGACAAGGUUAAUCCGAGUGGUUUCUGCUAAAGGAACCUUUUGUCAGUCCUAGAAACACUGGUGAAUAAGGGGUGGGCAAGUUCUGGUGUCAGCCGCCGCGGUAAAACCAGCACCUCAAGUGGUCAGGAUGAUUAUUGGGCCUAAAGCAUCCGUAGCCUGCUUUGUUAGUUUUCGGUUAAAUCCAUACGCUUAACGUAUGGGCUGCCGGGAAUACUGCAAAGCUAGGGAGUGGGAGAGGUAGACGGUACUCGGUAGGAAGGGGUAAAAUCCUUUGAUCUAUUGAUGACCACCUGUGGCGAAGGCGGUCUACCAGAACACGUCCGACGGUGAGGGAUGAAAGCUGGGGGAGCAAACCGGAUUAGAUACCCGGGUAGUCCCAGCUGUAAACUAUGCAAACUCGGUGAUGCAUUGGCUUGAUGCCAAUGCAGUGCCGCAGGGAAGCCGUUAAGUUUGCCGCCUGGGAAGUACGUACGCAAGUAUGAAACUUAAAGGAAUUGGCGGGGGAGCACCACAAGGGUGAAGCCUGCGGUUCAAUUGGAUUCAACGCCGGAA